GCCCUCGUAGUGUAACUGGAUAACAUGUCUGUCUUCGGAACAGAAGAUUGCAGGUUCGAAUCCUGCCGAGGGCA
rnacentral:tRNA from 1 species